GAUGAACGCUGGCGGCGUGCUUAACACAUGCAAGUCGAACGGAAAGGCUCCUGCUUGCCGGGGUACUCGAGUGGCGAACGGGUGAGUAACACGUGGGUGAUCUGCCCUGCACUUCGGGAUAAGCCUGGGAAACUGGGUCUAAUACCGGAUAGGACCACAUUUUGGAUGGUGUGGUGGAAAGUUUUUCGGUGUGGGAUGAGCUCGCGGCCUAUCAGCCUGUUGGUGGGGUAAUGGCCUACCAAGGCGUCGACGGGUAGCCGGCCUGAGAGGGUGUACGGCCACAUUGGGACUGAGAUACGGCCCAGACUCCUACGGGAGGCAGCAGUGGGGAAUAUUGCACAAUGGGCGCAAGCCUGAUGCAGCGACGCCGCGUGGGGGAUGACGGCCUUCGGGUUGUAAACUCCUUUCGCUAGGGACGAAGCGCAAGUGACGGUACCUGGAGAAGAAGCACCGGCUAACUACGUG
rnacentral:rRNA from 1 species